CCUACGGGGUGCAGCAGUGAGGAAUAUUGGUCAAUGGGAGAGAUCCUGAACCAGCCAAGCCGCGUGAGGGAAGACGGCCCUAUGGGUUGUAAACCUCUUUUGUCGGAGAACAAAACCCGGGACGUGUCCCGGACUGCGUGUAUCCGAAGAAAAAGCAUCGGCUAACUCCGUCCCAGCAGCGGCGGUAAUACGGGGGAUGCGAGCGGUAUCCGGAUUGAUUGGGUUUAAAGGGUGCGUAGGCGGUACGUAAUGUCAGCGAGAAAAUUGCGGGGCUCAACCCCGACGAGCAGUUGAGACUGGCAGACUUGAGUUGGCGAGAGGUACGUGGAAUUCGCGGUGUAGCGGUGAAAUGCGUAGAUAUCGGGAAGAACUCCGAUUGCGAAGGCAGCCUACUGGCGCCAGACUGACGCUGAGGCACGAAAGCGUGGGGAUCGAACAGGAUUAGAUACCCCUGUAGUC
rnacentral:rRNA from 1 species